GCGGCCUAUCAGCUUGUUGGCGAGGUAAAAGCUCACCAAGGCUAAGACGGGUAGCUGGUCUGAGAGGACGACCAGCCACACUGGAACUGAGACACGGUCCAGACACCUACGGGUGGCAGCAGUCGAGAAUUUUUCUCAAUGGGCGAAAGCCUGAAGGAGCGACGCCGCGUGGGGGAUGAAUGGCUUCGGCCCGUAAACCCCUGUCAUUUGCGAACAAAUUGACUCACCUAACACGUGUGUCAUUGAUUGUAGCGGAAGAGGAAGGGACGGCUAACUCUGUGCCAGCAGCCGCGGUAAUACAGAGGUCCCAAGCGUUGUUCGGAUUCACUGGGCGUAAAGGGUGCGUAGGCGGUUGGGUAAGUCUGACGUGAAAUCUCCGGGCCUAACCCGGAAACUGCGU
rnacentral:rRNA from 1 species